CGCCUGUUUAACAAAAACAUGUUCUUUUGAAUAUAUUUAAGGUCUAACCUGCCCAAUGAGGCAUUAAAUGGCCGCAGUAUUUUGACUGUGCAAAGGUAGCAUAAUUAUUAGUUUUUUAAUUGAAAGCUUGUAUGAAGGGUUGGACGAAAUAAAACCUGUCUUUAUUUAAGUUAUAAUAGAAUUUAACUUUUAAGUCAAAAGGCUUAAAUUUAUAUAAAAGACGAGAAGACCCUAUAGAUCUUUAUUUAAUUAAUAUUUUAAUAAUUUUGGAUUAUUUUAAUUUAAAGUUUUAAUUAAAUUUUAUUGGGGUAAUGUAAAGAUUAAAAUAAUUCUUUUUUUUUAAUACAUUGAUUUAUGAAUAUAUGAUCCAAUAUUAUUGAUUAUAAGAUUAAGUUAC
rnacentral:rRNA from 1 species